rnacentral:rRNA from 1 species
CAUAGAGAAGUAAGAGGUCGUAAUCCAGGGCUUCAGGUAGGGUGGACCAUGCGGAAGGGAUCAUUA